rnacentral:lncRNA from 1 species
CUUGGCCGCCGGGCGUCGGUUGGGCUCCCUCGGCGCGCACCCUAGGGAGGGCGCGCCCCAGGCCCAGGCUAUGAGGGUGUGUGUUUCGGGGAGGCGGUCCCCACCCCAGACGUGGCCUCGCUCCUGGCGUUCGGAAGGCGCGAGGGAGUGUGAACUGGAGCUGCUCCCUCGGCCCGAGGAGCGGAGUCCCCGAGGCGGGCUCCCAGCACGUGCGCCCGGGGCGCCCGCGGCGGGGCUGCUUCCCAAACAGCGGGUGUGAGGGGCCCCUGGCGCAGCCUCCUCUCCGGCCAGAGCUCGCAGGAAAACUCCGGCCUACACACACACCUGCAGGGUUUAUUCCACCUCAAGAAACAGCCUCGCAGGUUGGUGCUGCUUAUUGUCAGCCCCGGAGAGCACGCCCGCGGGCCCUGCGCAGUUUCAUCUUACCUGUCUGGGGGCGCUGAUUGACAACGAAAGUGGUGGUGAUCUCACCCAGCCAGGGACCCUAAGAGGGCUGAGGACAACUUCUCCGCCCUUGCAGAGCUCAUUCCGACGAGUCCAUUUAGCAUCAAAGCCCAUGUGCUUUCACCUUUGAGCCGUGCCGCCUUAUUCUCUCAACAGGAAUGUAUUCUUCUCCAGCUGGAGCUGACUUGGAGGCAAGGAGAAUUCCCUAGCAGCCUUAGGAGGCAACAAGGAUUCCUCCUGAAGUCACUGGCCUCUCAACUCUUUUAUAAGCCAUGAGUGCAUUACUGGAGCUCCACUCUCGCCUCAGCCCACAUGCCUGGCCACAGCCACAGGGGCCUGAGCAGCCCAGAAGACAGUGUGAUUUGGGUGUUACUGUCACCGGGCAGCCCAGGACCCCGGGCCCUGGGGUGAGGGGGAGGAAGAAGAACCAGGCUCCUUUCUCAAGGACAGAAGAGGAUGCCCGGGAAGAAUUGUGCUGAGAGGGUGAUUUGAACUGUUAUCUACUUGGAUGUGGGUCUGACUCACUCCCACUCAGAGGUUCUUGGAGCCCAGAAUGUUACCCAAGAGAAACGCCUGAUGCGUUUGGUCUCUGUAACGCUUAAUCCACUGCCUCGGCCCCCGUGCAACAU